UACAGAGGGGGCAAGCGUUGUUCGGAAUUACUGGGCGUAAAGGGCUCGUAGGCGGCCAACUAAGUCGGACGUGAAAUCCCUCGGCUUAACCGGGGAACUGCGUCCGAUACUGGAUGGCUUGAGAUUGGGAGAGGGAUGCGGAAUUCCAGGUGUAGCGGUGAAAUGCGUAGAUAUCUGGAGGAACACCGGUGGCGAAGGCGGCAUCCUGGACCAACACUGACGCUGAUGAGCGAAAGCCAGGGGAGCAAACGGG
rnacentral:rRNA from 1 species